AUUUGGCUACAAGCCAAAUUGCUCUGAGCUCAAUUACUUUAUUGCAUCGUAAUAAAGCACAAAAGAGCGACUGCAUUGAGGACUCCCAAUUGUUACUGAUUGCGAGUCGCGCAUUAAGACCCGUAGACAAAACGCGCUCCCUAAAAUUGAUACAGCAUGCUAUACGUUUGCAUCCUCAAAAUCAGAAUGCUUGGCUGGCGCUACAGGAAGUUCAUUAAUGGAUAUUUUGCUUGUAAAAAAUUAUGAAAACAGGUCUUGCUGAUUUUGAAUCAAAUCGUUUUUAGCGACGAAGAUUAUGUAACUAAAAGCGUAUUUUAUGCAAUGAAAUACUGUCUGACAUUAAAAUCUACAUAUUUACAAAUUUUCUUGCUUCGAAAUGCCGACAGAUUAAAAAGACGAAAGUCUUACUAGCUGAUAAAAAGGUAAGCAAUGAAAUUGUGAUUCAACAUAGGAUUUUUUUUUUUGCAAAAGAUAAAGCACAAAAACUCAAGAGUGGGAUAUAAUUCGCUGGAAGCACUAAUAUGAAUAUUUGAAACAUAUUAAAUAUAUCGAGCCUUAACCGCAAACAUGACGUAAGCAACAUUUUUUCAAAUCAUAAUUUCGAUACAGAAUUGCUAUUAGAGCUUCUAGGAGCAUUUUUGCAUGAAAAAGGAUGUUUUGAAUCUUUUGAACAAGCACAUAUUUUUCCUUUUAGAUUUGAUCUUACGCUUACUCUAACAGGCAUCGGAGCGGUUUCGUUUUAAUUUCAUUCCGAAGAUAAAUGUUGAAAUAGAAAAAGACGUUUUGUAGUAAGUUUUUUCCAGAAGGUCUUAGGCUGGAAAAUCUACGUAUGUACAUAUAUUUUGGCUGGGUUGUGCUUUGAGGGAUGUUAAUCAAAUUGCUAACAACUAAAGGGUUUGAAAAGUUGAAAAGUAAUUCCAAAUAACACCUAGCGAACUGCGGAAUGAAAUUGAAUUCUAGGGCAGAAAAUUAAAAGCAGCGUAGUAAAAAA